AUGCAUCACACAAUCUCAGAUUUAUCCAACCAACAUAAAAGUACUUCAAAGAGUUCCCCAAAGCCACUACCGAAGAGUCAAGAGCGUGUGCCAACCCCUAUGCAUAGGUUCCCAAUGUCACGAAACCCGCAAGUUGAUCACCAAAACAUACAUCAAGUGGCACAUGAUAUCCCAUUGUCACCACAGAUAAUCACGACAAGACAUACAUCAAGUGUUCUCAUAAAGACUCAAUCUGAUAAGAUAACUUCAAAGGGGAAACUCAAUUCAUCACAAGAGAGUAGAGGGGGAGAAACAUCAUAA
rnacentral:rRNA from 1 species